rnacentral:lncRNA from 1 species
GAUAAGUUAAAGAUAAAUAGCAAUAAAAAAACAGCAGAGCAGAGUCUCAAACUGGGUCAAAAGCUCGGUCUUCGGAAGCUUAAACUUUACAGACAGGUUAUAAAUUAGUCUGCAAAUAGAACAAGGUGUAAGAAUGAGGUCAAGACGAAGAGUUUCUCCUUAUCCACCUUAUUUAUUGUUCAAAGCAAGGACAUUAUUGUAAAAAGGAGACAGAAAGGUCACGAACACUAAGCAACAUACCCAUAAAAAGAAGAACAAAGUACUGUAAAUGAAAAAAAUCAGAAAAGUAAGAUAAAACUGUUAUGAGUUGAGAAGAUGCUUUAAUGCAGGAAAAUCCACCAUGAACCUUAAACAAACACUUGUGGGAUGAAAUAAGGUUUAAUGGUGUUGAAAGAUGUUAUAGGACAAAGGAUGACACACUUAACAAAAAUGGAAAGUACCUUUGUAAGGAAAAUUUUAAAAUAUAGAUGUGAUAAUAUAAGAAAAAGCCAAACUAUCUUUAACAUGAAAUACUCCAUUAAAAGGCUAUGUAAUUUAGGGGGGUGUUUUGAUCUAAUAGAAGUAGAUUUAUUGGUGUCAAAGUAAGCUUAGAAUGAUAAUUUAGAUCACAUUUCAGCAAACUUGAAAGAAAACAGUUUAUAAUUUAUACAGAUGAAGUUUUCUGAUAAAGAUAACAAAAAAGUUAUAUGAAUGGCAUUUUAAAAAAAUAUGUUAAAAGAAAGUACAAGAAAACAGUUUAAAAAUAAACAAAUGUGUCUUAAAUUCUGGUUUGGGUAUUUGAGGACAGAAAUCUUCAAAUUUAGCCUGAUCAAAAUGAAAGAAAAGGUUAAACACAGAGCUACCUUGUUUCUACAGUAACGACAAUGUUCUCCUGUCAUGCUCAAUUGGUUAACACCCACAGUUCCAGUGGGAUCACGAUGGCAGUAUUACAAGGUCAGCUCGGAGAUUUCGCCUGGCUCAGCAAAGACCUGCAGGACUGAGGGCAAUGCUGCUCAGCUGACAGGGCUCUUUGCUUGUUCACAGAGCUCUUUCUCGAAGGGGCCCCAGUGCCAGAACCAUUCACAAGCCGGGAGCAUAAAUGACAGAGUUGAGCAGCACAUUAAACACUGCAUUCUCCAAGAAAUAUUAAAUAAAAUAAGAGCAUCGACUCUGCAGCACAGCCAAAAUGCCAGGAACAAAAGGCAAAGGUAACAAAUCGGACAAGAAGUCAAGCACCAAGCAACCUCAGAGUCCUAAAGAACAGCCGAAGAAAGGUGAUCAGAAAGGAGACGAUAACACGAAGCAAGGAG